rnacentral:rRNA from 1 species
CCUACGGGGUGCAGCAGUGGGGAAUAUUGGACAAUGGGCGAAAGCCCGAUCCAGCCAUGCCGCGUGUGUGAAGAAGGCCUUCGGGUUGUAAAGCACUUUCAGUGGGGAAGAAAGCCUUGGGGCUAAUACCCUCGAGGAAGGACAUCACCCACAGAAGAAGCACCGGCUAACUCCGUGCCAGCAGCCGCGGUAAUACGGAGGGUGCGAGCGUUAAUCGGAAUUACUGGGCGUAAAGCGCGCGUAGGCGGUCUGAUAAGCCGGUUGUGAAAGCCCCGGGCUCAACCUGGGAACGGCAUCCGGAACUGUCAGGCUAGAGUGCAGGAGAGGAAGGUAGAAUUCCCGGUGUAGCGGUGAAAUGCGUAGAGAUCGGGAGGAAUACCAGUGGCGAAGGCGGCCUUCUGGACUGACACUGACGCUGAGGUGCGAAAGCGUGGGUAGCAAACAGGAUUAGAUACCCUAGUAGUC